ACUCUUCUUCCACUUCGAUCAAAACUCCUACCGCCUCUUUUUAGUCUUCGUCAUUUCCUUCUCAUCUAGUCAUUCUGGAACGCCGCUACUCUGAUUGAAAUUCCAUGUUCAGGUAAGUGGUCUCUUUCUAUUUCGAAAUUCCCUUUUGCUUGAUCAUUUGCUUUCUCUUCCUUUUGAGUCUUUGCUUUUUCAUGUUAAGGGCAAAAUUGGUAUGAGAAUUUGUUUUUAUUUGGAAGAAAUUGUUGUGUAAACAAAGUACCAAAUUGAGGGUUUUUGUACAUCGGUUUGCUUGUUUGGUUCUUACUGAUGAUCAAAGUUAUCAAAAGGACAUUUAUCUCACUACCAUAUUAAAUCUUUGCAAUAUAUAUUCUAGUCAUGCAUCAUCUAGUAAAUUUCGAUAGCAAAUAUUCAAAGUAGACUUUGUUCUACUCUCUCUGGAGUCUCUGCAUCAAUGUUCUAGGAAUUGUUGCAUUCUAUUAGAGUCUGGAAUCAUCUAACUUCAUUUAAAUUGCACUCCUAGAAUUGAGCCAUUACUGAGUUUAUGUUUUUAUUAAGUUUGUUUGUUUUUUAUUUUAUUUUUUCCAGACUUUCAAAAAUUUGAGUUCCUUUAAUAUACUUUGGCGAUGUUUGAAUGUGAUUAUAGGUUGUCUUUCUUAUGAAGAUAGGUAUUGGUUCUGUAAUUAUUGUUUCAAUGUCAAAUAUUGGUAUCGCACAAGUGUUUGUUGGGGAACUUAGAUGUGCCUGCAAUCGCUAUCUUAACCAUCCAUAUUGAAAUUUAACAGUAUAUAUUAAUUUCUUAUCACUAGUGUUUUUUUUUUUUUUUUUGGUAGGAAAGUGGUGUUGUUAACUCGGACCCCCACCCCGUUACAUUAAUAGAAAAAGCUUGUUACAUUCUCACAUAGAUUGUACUAUUAGCAUCACUAAACACAAUUUUCCUAAUGUCCUCAGAGAAUGAGCUAGGUACAAUAGCAAUAAACCUAAUAUAGGAAAUAGUUCACCUUCGAACUGCAUAUAGUUCAGCUUCCAGGGAUGUUUCUGUUUGACUUGUACAAUUGCCACCCCAUUUACUGAAUCCGUCCGAGAAUACAGUUUCUCGAUUCCUUGUUGUACUGCCAGCUUGAUGCCUUGCUUCAGCCCUUCCAACUCAUGUCUACAAUCAUGUUGUAAUCUGACUUCCCCUUAGCUGCAUAUGAACUUGUCCAGUGUGAUCUCGAAUUACUGCUCCCUAUCCUCCAGUUUGACCUUGUAGUGUGGCGUCUGUAUUUAAAACGCAUAUACCUAGUUGUUUCUUCCAAGUACAGGUCUUGGUUGCAUUGUGUGCCACUUGAAUACCUAUGUUCCAUAUCUCGUUUAGCCUUUUUCUCUCAGGACCUUCUACCAUAGUAUGCUGUAAGGAGCAUAGUUUAAUCUCACAUCAGUUAGACAAACUACAUAGUAAAGGUGUAUGCUGAUGCUUCCCCCCUGAAUAUCCUAUCAUUUUUUUCCUUCCAUACCCAGUAAAUGAAGCCAUUAAACAUAAGUCUCAAGCCAUCUUGUAUUCUUGUGUUAUGCCUUUUCUCCCUUUGUUAAAUUACAUAUCCAGUGAAGUUCUUGUUGCCAAAAACCUGACUGUUGUCUUCUAUAUUCUGCUGCACUUAAUAAUAAUCCCCAUGUACUUCUAGCAAAAUUACAUUCAAAGAAUAAGUGCUCCCCAGUUUCCACUUCCUGCCAGCAGAGAACACAUAAAUUAGAUUGUACUAUUCCCUGUUUUUUAAGCUAAGUCUUCAAACAUCCCCUGACGGCCAUCCAGGUAAUAAAGGUGUGUCUAGGUUUUCUAAGCACUAGCGUUAUCUAUUGUAUUAUAAUUUAUUCACAUAAGCAUCAAAACUUUAGCAAAACUGGCUCAAUGUGGCUUUGUAAUAGAAUAGGUAUUACUCCUACAACUUUAUGACUGUAUCUUGAUUGCCAUAUUUAAGCAAUUGAACCCCUUAAGAUUCCUGCCAUAAGUCUUGUUUAACUAGACUCAUUGUUAGUAAGGACCAGGCUUGUACCUCUAAGGAAAAUAAAGGAGCACCCUUGUGCAAGCCCAUACAGAGUCAGCCAGACAUAGUUUAAAAAGAAUUGGAAUGACCCACAAUACCCAUCUAUCAUACUUAGUUUAGCCAGGUUUAGUUCAAUAAGAUCCCCGCCUAUAAAUCAUGCUUGAUAAGGAAGAAGGCAAACUGUUGACAACACUGUUCGAGUACUUUUUAAAAUUGCUAGCAUUUUCAGUUCCAAGACGGUACUAUCUUUUUAAGUAUUAGAAAAGGUCGCCUUAUUAUCCUCACCAUGAUAAUCCUUGAUAAUACCCCUAUGCUACACCUUGUAGCAUUAUUUGCAGCAUCAGCUUGUACCAUGAUCUAUCAUGGUUCAAGUAGGAUCCAUGAUGCAUAGAUUCUUGGAUCUUUGACCUUGCAUGAAGUUAUUUCCCACAGUUUGUCAGACCUGAAUAUUAAUUGUCAUUGCUCAUCUAGAUAGAUUUUCUGUCGAACUUAUCUGGACUGGAAUUGGGCUGACCAUAAAAUAGUUUGUUUCUUGAUUAUUUUUAUUCUGGUAUAUGUCAACUAAAAUUGGGUUUGGACUAGUAUAGUAUUGAAAUUGCUAGAGUUAGUAUUGCUUAGUCCAUUGUAUGAAAGUCAGUAUGAUUGUUGCUAACUCAUGAAUUAAUAAAUGUCAUCUUGUGACACAGGGGAGAAGAGAACUUGACAGUGUCUGAUUAAUCCUUCAGUCACAUCUGCAGAUUUUGGUAGGUUUAGUAUGUGUAUUUUUCUGAUAUGGUGUGUAAAUCUCAUGUUCAUUACUUUGACAGCUCGACUUGCUCUGUUCUCACAAAAGUACAACCUCUGCUUAGGAAAAGGAAGUUACAUAGUGAAGCUUCACUUUGCUGAAACUGUCCUCACAAUUUAUCGAUGAUACCAAGUAAUUUCCCAUGGAUUCCUUUAGAUAUCAACUUCUUAAAUUUGUUUAUACUUUGCAUGCUUCAAAAAUAAUUUUCUUUACUCACACAAGUCUCAUGUUAUGUCUUAUGUUUCAGUAGUUUCUAUGAAGCCAGUAGCAAUGAUUUAUACUAAUUGUGUAUGGUUGUAUGUUAUUAUAGCACUGUGGAUUAAUUCAGUGGUGAAAGCACACCAGAUAUACAGUCUUAGUUCAUAACAUUUUGUUCUGAAUAUGCAAUAGUCACACCUCCACAGGUUAGAAACGGUGUUCAUCUCAAGAAAUGAAAGCAAGCUGAUAAACUUAUUUUUAGAAAUUAUUAGUUCGUUGAAGUGUGCGAUAAUAUAUAUUAGUACUCACAUCAGAUGUUUAUAUUAACAGAUCAUAAAGGGCCUUAAGGAAGUCUCGGUUGGCAUGAAGGUUGGAGGUGAUCUUUGAGUUACCAAUUACAUGAUUUUGUAUAUGUGUUUUUUUUUUUUUUUUUUUUCAAACAUGCAAUCUGAGGAUACCUUGCCGGGCAGAGCUAUAUAGAACUACCUGAUAUUUGUUUUGCAGGGAAGAAGAGAUCUUUGAUACCUCUUUUGGUUGGGAAUUUCAAGUAUCACGACAUGAAUGAAGGAUCCAUAACUGAUGGGAUCAUAUGAGCAGGGCCGGAUUUGGGGCUAGGCGAGCUAGGCGGUUGCCUAGGGCCUCCAAAUCUCAGGGGGCCUCCUGCUCACCAAGGCCAUACAUAUGUUAUAUUGCUUUGGAUUUUUUUCCUUAGUUUAACUAUAAUAAAGCCUAUUACCCAAGCCCAAUACAAUUAAUAAACCAAAUGGGAGGAGAUUCUCUCUUUCAAUUGAAGCCCAGAUCACUUCAUUAAUUAGGCUUCUUGACAUACUGUAAUAGCUUUCUUUCUCACUUCCAUGGCUCUAUCUCCCUUAGAACAAAAACUUAAAUUCACUUUCUCUGUUUCCCCUUCUCUCAAUUAAUCAAACAAAAACCUCAAUCUAAUAUAACUUCAAAUUCAUAGAUAUGUGUAUAUUAUUAUUUAAAAUUUUUUUGUCAUUUUUAAAUAAAUUUAAGGGUCUUAGGUAUCUUGACGUUCUUAAGAAAAAAAAAACUAGGGCCCCCAAAAUCUCAGGUACGGCACUGCAUAUGAGGUAUACUUAUUUUAUCCCUUAUUAUUGCUUAUGUUUUCUUCAAUAUCAGUAAUCUCAUGAGUACUUAAAUGUUUGAAAAUUGUUUUGAAUUGAAAAUCUGGAACGUAAACUUGUAAUUUUAUCCCUUAUUAUAUUUAUUGUUGCAGGUCAUGGUAGUUGGUUGUAGGCGAUAAGUUCGUGCAUCCAUUUCACACUCCAUGGAAUAACGUACCCUCGGUGAAACUGAUCAUGUGUUUUUAUUUUCACUCUUCGAUAUGCUUAUUUGUAUUGACCAGACUUGUAUAUUCAUGCACAUAAUGAGUUUCUAAUAAAUUCUAGUGUUUGGGAAUGUAGACGAGUUUAAUUUUCUUGUAGUGCUAAAUAUUUUUUUAAUAAUAUUAAUUUAUAAAAUUUUGGGUU
rnacentral:lncRNA from 1 species